UACAGAGGUCUCAAGCGUUGUUCGGAUUCAUUGGGCGUAAAGGGUGCGUAGGCGGCGCGGUAAGUCGGGUGUGAAAUCUUGGAGCUUAACUCCGAAACUGCAUUCGAUACUGCCGUGCUUGAGGACUGGAGAGGAGACUGGAAUUUACGGUGUAGCGGUGAAAUGCGUAGAUAUCAAGUGGAACACCAGUGGCGAAGGCGAGUCCCUGGACAACUCCUGACACUGAGGCACGAAAGCUAGGGGGAGCAAACAGG
rnacentral:rRNA from 1 species